rnacentral:rRNA from 1 species
CACGGGUGAGUAACACGUAUGCAAUCCACCUGUAACAGGGGGAGUAACCCGGAGAAAUCCGGACUAAUACCCCAUAAUAUGGGCGCUCCGCAUGGAGAGUUCAUUAAAGAGAGCAAUUUUGGUUACAGACGAGCAUGCGCUCCAUUAGCCAGUUGGCGGGGUAACGGCCCACCAAGGCGACGAUGGAUAGGGGUUCUGAGAGGAAGGUCCCCCACAUUGGAACUGAGACACGGUCCAA